rnacentral:rRNA from 1 species
UACGAAGGGGGCUAGCGUUGCUCGGAAUUACUGGGCGUAAAGCGCAUGUAGGCGGCGAUUCAAGUUAGAUGUGAAAGGCCCGGGCUCAACCCGGGGAACUGCAUUUGAUACUGAAUUGCUAGAGUCCAAGAGAGGGUAGUGGAAUUCCCAGUGUAGAGGUGAAAUUCGUAGAUAUUGGGAAGAACACCAGUGGCGAAGGCGGCUACCUGGCUUGGUACUGACGCUGA